UACGAACCGUCCAAACGUUAUUCGGAAUUAUUGGGCGUAAAGCGCGCGCAGGCGGUCCCUUAAGUCUGAUGUGAAAGCCCACGGCUCAACCGUGGAGGGUCAUUGGAAACUGGAGGACUUGAGUACAGAAGAGGAAAGUGGAAUUCCACGUGUAGCGGUGAAAUGCGUAGAGAUGCGGAGGAACACCAGUGGCGAAGGCGACUUUCUGGUCUGUAACUGACGCUGAGGCGCGAAAGCGUGGGGAGCAAACAGG
rnacentral:misc_RNA from 1 species